rnacentral:rRNA from 1 species
GACAGAGGGGGCAAGCGUUGCUCGGAAUUACUGGGCGUAAAGGGCGCGUAGGCGGUCAGCACAAGUCAGUUGUGAAAUCUCCGGGCUUAACCCGGAAAGGUCAACUGAUACUGUGCGACUAGAGUGCGGAAGGGGCAACUGGAAUUCUCGGUGUAGCGGUGAAAUGCGUAGAUAUCGAGAGGAACACCUGCGGCGAAGGCGGGUUGCUGGGCCGACACUGACGCUGAUGCGCGAAAGCCAGGGGAGCGAACGGG